rnacentral:misc_RNA from 1 species
GAUGAAGAACGCAGCGAAAUGCGAUACGUAAUGUGAAUUGCAGAUUUCAGUGAAUCAUCGAAUCUUUGAACGCACAUUGCGCCCGCCAGUAUUCUGGCGGGCAUGCCUGUUCGAGCGUCAUUUCAACCAUCAAGCCUUCGCUUGUGUUGGGGCCCCGCGGCUGCCGCGGUCCCCUAAAUCCAGUGGCGGGCUCGUCGUCGUACCGAGCGCAGUAGACAUCCUCGCUCCGGGAACCCGACGGGUGCCGGCCGUGAAACCCCCCACAUCAAGGUUGACCUCGUAUCAGGUAGGAAUACCCGCUGAACUUAAGCAUAUCAAUAAGCGGAGGA